AGCAGCCGCGGUAAUUCCAGCUCCAAUAGCGUAUAUUAAAGUUGUUGCAGUUAAAAAGCUCGUAGUUGAAUUUCGGGAUUGACGUGAUGGUCGUACCUUAAGGGGUAUGAACUGUCGCUGUUGAUUUCUCACCUUCUGGAGAAACUUGAUGUCCUUAAUUGGGUGUCUUACGGAUCCAGGACCUUUACCUUGAAAAAAUUAGAGUGUCUAAAGCAGGCAUUUUUGCUCGAAUACAUUAGCAUGGAAUAAUAGAAUAGGACGGCAUGGUUCUAUUUUGUUGGUUUCUAGGAUCACCGUAAUGAUUAAUAGGGAUAGUUGGGGGCAUUAGUAUUCAAUUGUCAGAGGUGAAAUUCUUGGAUUUAUUGAAGAUUAACUACUGCGAAAGCAUUUGCCAAGGAUGUUUUCAUUAAUCAAGAACGAAAGUUAGGGGAUCGAAGACGAUCAGAUACCGUCGUAGUCUUAACCAUAAACUAUGCCGACUAGGAAUCAGACGAUGUUAAUUUUUUAAUGACUCGUUUGGCACCUUACG
rnacentral:rRNA from 1 species